GACGAACGCUGGCGGCGUGCUUAACACAUGCAAGUCGAACGGAAAGGCCCUGCUUUUGUGGGGUGCUCGAGUGGCGAACGGGUGAGUAACACGUGAGUAACCUGCCCUUGACUUUGGGAUAACUUCAGGAAACUGGGGCUAAUACCGGAUAGGAGCUCCUGCUGCAUGGUGGGGGUUGGAAAGUUUCGGCGGUUGGGGAUGGACUCGCGGCUUAUCAGCUUGUUGGUGGGGUAGUGGCUUACCAAGGCUUUGACGGGUAGCCGGCCUGAGAGGGUGACCGGCCAAAUGGGGACUAAGAGCGGCCCGAGCCGGCACCGGGAGGCAAGAGGGGGAAUUUUGACAGAGGGGCGGCGACUGUUGGCCAGAAGCCCCGGGGGGGGAAUACGGGCUUCGGGUUGAAAACCGGUUUUCGCUGGAGACGAGGCGGGCGGAAGGUUAGGGGAUAAGAAAGCCCCGGCAAACUACGUG
rnacentral:rRNA from 1 species